UACGUAGGGACCGAGCGUUGUCCGGAAUUAUUGGGCGUAAAGAGCUCGUAGGCGGUUUGUCGCGUCUGCUGUGAAAACCCGAGGCUCAACCUCGGGCCUGCAGUGGGUACGGGCAGACUAGAGUGCGGUAGGGGAGAUUGGAAUUCCUGGUGUAGCGGUGGAAUGCGCAGAUAUCAGGAGGAACACCAAUGGCGAAGGCAGAUCUCUGGGCCGUAACUGACGCUGAGGAGCGAAAGCAUGGGGAGCGAACAGG
rnacentral:rRNA from 1 species